rnacentral:tRNA from 1 species
ACAGUAGUGCCUGACAAAAGGGUUAUCUUGAUAGGAUAAAAAAUGCUUAAGAGCCUCUGUUA